AUACGUAGGGUGCAAGCGUUAAUCGGAAUUACUGGGCGUAAAGCGUGCGCAGGCGGUUUUGUAAGACAGUGGUGAAAUCCCCGGGCUCAACCUGGGAGCUGCCAUUGUGACUGCAAGGCUGGAGUGCGGCAGAGGGGGAUGGAAUUCCGCGUGUAGCAGUGAAAUGCGUAGAUAUGCGGAGGAACACCGAUGGCGAAGGCAAUCCCCUGGGCCUGCACUGACGCUCAUGCACGAAAGCGUGGGGAGCAAACAGGAUUAGAUACCCUGGUAGUCCACGCCCUAAACGAUGUCAACUGGUUGUUGGGGAUUUAUUUUCUCAGUAACGAAGCUAACGCGUGAAGUUGACCGCCUGGGGAGUACGGCCGCAAGGUUAAAACUCAAAUGAAUUGACGGGG
rnacentral:rRNA from 1 species